AUGUCGACUGCAGGAUUGAGGAAUGUAUCUUGCCCCACCUUUGACGGUCAUGAGUAUCCUCGGUGGAAGGCCAUGAUGAAGAAGCGACUCAUGGCUAUGGAUAGUGAGUUGUGGACCGUCACUGAGAUUGGUCUUACCGAUCUAUGCAAGAUGGCAGAAGCUGAUGACAUUUGCAAGUACACUCUACUGAACCUCACAGGGAAGGAUGUCAUCUGCUCCAGUCUGUCCCGAAAUCAGUUCAGGAACGUCAUGCACCUCAAUCACGCGAAGCUAAUAUGGGACCGGCUUUCUAAGGUCUAUGAAGGUCAUCUUAAUCGUCAUGAUCCUUGGCUUGAUGACUACAAGGAGUCUCUUAAAGAGAUGACCUUUCCACCUAAAUCAUCUUCAUCUUCACCAUGCCUCAUGGCAGGGGGUGCUAAGGUAACUGAAUGCUACCUCUCUGAAACUAGUGAUGAUGAAUCAGGUGAUGAAUUUGGCCCCAGCUAUGUCAAACUUGCUUCCCUUGCCACUUAA
rnacentral:rRNA from 1 species